GAUGAACGCUAGCUACAGGCUUAACACAUGCAAGUCGAGGGGCAGCAUCAUCAAAGCUUGCUUUGAUGGAUGGCGACCGGCGCACGGGUGAGUAACACGUAUCCAACCUGCCGACAACACUGGGAUAGCCUUUCGAAAGAAAGAUUAAUACCGGAUGGCAUAGUUUUUCCGCAUGGGAUAAUUAUUAAAGAAUUUCGGUUGUCGAUGGGGAUGCGUUCCAUUAGGCAGUUGGCGGGGUAACGGCCCACCAAACCAACGAUGGAUAGGGGUUCUGAGAGGAAGGUCCCCCACAUUGGAACUGAGACACGGUCCAAACUCCUACGGGAGGCAGCAGUGAGGAAUAUUGGUCAAUGGACGAGAGUCUGAACCAGCCAAGUAGCGUGAAGGAUGACUGCCCUAUGGGUUGUAAACUUCUUUUAUACGGGAAUAAAGUUAGCCACGUGUGGCUUUUUGUAUGUACCGUAUGAAUAAGGAUCGGCUAACUCCGUGCCAGCAGCCGCGGUAAUACGGAGGAUCCGAGCGUUAUCCGGAUUUAUUGGGUUUAAAGGGAGCGUAGGCGGGUUGUUAAGUCAGUUGUGAAAGUUUGCGGCUCAACCGUAAAAUUGCAGUUGAUACUGGCGACCUUGAGUGCAACAGAGGUAGGCGGAAUUCGUGGUGUAGCGGUGAAAUGCUUAGAUAUCACGAAGAACUCCGAUUGCGAAGGCAGCUUACUGGAUUGUAACUGACGCUGAUGCUCGAAAGUGUGGGUAUCAAACAGGAUUAGAUACCCUGGUAGUCCACACAGUAAACGAAGAAUACUCGCUGUUGGCGAUAUACGGUCAGCGGCCAAGCGAAAGCAUUAAGUAUUCCACCUGGGGAGUACGCCGGCAACGGUGAAACUCAAAGGAAUAGACGGGGGCCCGCACAAGCGGAGGAACAUGUGGUUUAAUUCGAUGAUACGCGAGGAACCUUACCCGGGCUUAAAUUGCAACUGACUGAACCGGAAACGGUUCUUUUUUCUGACAGUUGUGAAGGUGCUGCAUGGUUGUCGUCAGCUCGUGCCGUGAGGUGUCGGCUUAAGUGCCAUAACGAGCGCAACCCUUAUCGAUAGUUACUAGCAGGUCAUGCUGAGGACUCUAUUGAGACUGCCGUCGUAAGAUGUGAGGAAGGUGGGGAGGACGUCAAAUCAGCACGGCCCCUACGUCCGGGGGUACACACGUGUUACAAUGGGGGGUACAGAAGGCAGCUACACGGCGACGUGGUGCUAAUCCCGAAAGCCUCUCUCAGUUCGGAUUGGAGUGUGCAACCCGACUCCAUGAAGCUGGAUUCGCUAGUAAUCGCGCAUCAGCCACGGCGCGGUGAAUAAAAUGCCGGGCCUUGCACU
rnacentral:rRNA from 1 species